rnacentral:rRNA from 1 species
UACGUAGGGUCCGAGCGUUGUCCGGAGUUACUGGGCGUAAAGCGCGCGCAGGCGGCCGAUCAAGUCUGGCGUGAAAGCCCCCGGCUCAACCGGGGAGGGUCGUUGGAGACUGGUUGGCUUGAGGGCGGUAGGGGCUGGUGGAAUUCCCGGUGUAGUGGUGAAAUGCGUAGAGAUCGGGAGGAACACCCGUGGCGAAGGCGGCCAGCUGGGCCGACCCUGACGCUGAGGCGCGAAGGCGUGGGGAGCGAACGGG